rnacentral:rRNA from 1 species
AGAGACGCUGGCGGCGUGGAUUAGGCAUGCAAGUCGAACGGUAGGAUACCUUCGGGUAUCUGAGAGUGGCGAACGGGUGAGUAACACGUAGGUGAUCUACCCUCAAGAUUGGGACAACCCAGGGAAACUUGGGCUAAUACCGGAUGAAAGCAGCAGUGAUGUUGUUUGAAAGGUGGCGUAAGCUGCCGUUUGGGGAUGAGCCUGCGCUCUAUUAGUUAGUUGGCGGGGUAAAGGCCCACCAAGGCGAUGAUAGAUAGGCGGCCUUAACGGGUGGUCGCCCACUACUGGGAUUGAGAUACGGCCCAGACUCCUACGGGAGGCAGCAGUCGAGAAUAGUCUACAAUGGCCGAAAGGCUGAUAGUGCGACGCCGCGUGAACGAAGAAGCCCUUCGGGGUGUAAAGUUCUUUUAUAUGUGAGCAGUGCUUUCUAUGUGAACAGCAUGGGGAGAGAGAUAUUAGCAUAUGAAUAAGCAACGGCUAACUCCGUG